GCGAGAGCAGCUGACGGGCGCGUGGGGAGGUUCUUCAAAACAGCCCACAGUUCUGAGCUCCUCCAUCCAUGCACUACACCCCGUGAUGGUGUUCUGCCUACCAGCUGUUUUUACAGAGUGACAAGAAAAUCAAAGACUUGGUAAUGACUGAGAACAUCAACAUACAAACAGAUGCUUGCAUGACAUGCAACAGACACCAGCCCUCUUCAGUGUGUCAGGAAGAUGAGCUCCUUAUUACGGCCCUUGAUGAAGAAUCCCAAAGCUCUGAUGCAGGAUUGGCCAUUUUAAAUAGUCUUCUCAGAGGCCAGUGUAGUUUACUUUUAAAAUGGCUUUUGAAGAUCUAAGCAGGCACCAUCCAAAACACAGAAAGAAGUUAGUCUUUAGAGAGGAGGAGCACUCAGUUCAGUCCAGUUUGCAUUUAAUACAUCUCCACAAUGUACCUAUAA